rnacentral:rRNA from 1 species
GAUGAACGCUGGCGGCGUGCCUAAUACAUGCAAGUCGAGCGAACAGACGAGGAGCUUGCUCCUCUGACGUUAGCGGCGGACGGGUGAGUAACACGUGGAUAACCUACCUAUAAGACUGGGAUAACUUCGGGAAACCGGAGCUAAUACCGGAUAAUAUAUUGAACCGCAUGGUUCAAUAGUGAAAGACGGUUUUGCUGUCACUUAUAGAUGGAUCCGCGCCGCAUUAGCUAGUUGGUAAGGUAACGGCUUACCAAGGCAACGAUGCGUAGCCGACCUGAGAGGGUGAUCGGCCACACUGGAACUGAGACACGGUCCAGACUCCUACGGGAGGCAGCAGUAGGGAAUCUUCCGCAAUGGACGAGAGCCUGACGGAGCAACGCCGCGUGAGUGAUGAAGGUCUUCGGAUCGUAAAACUCUGUUAUUAGGGAAGAACAAAUGUGUAAGUAACUAUGCACGUAUUGACGGUACCUAAUCAGAAAGCCACGGCUAACUACGUG